GAGACAAGGGGGCGACAGGGGCACAGAUCUGAGACCCGCGUUGGAGAAUCGGGGGGAAGGGGUCAAUGUGGGAUUGUUGGUAUUUGAUAGUCAGAGCGACGGGGGGAUCUCGGGGCAGGUUCAGUCAGUGACAGACACCAGCAGAGACAAGGGGGCGCCAGGGGCACAGAUCUGAGACCCGCGUUGGAGAAUCGGGGGUAAGGGGUCAAUGUGGGAUUGUUGGUAUUUGAUAGUCAGAGCGACGGGGGGAUCUCGGGGCAGGUUCAGUCAGUGACAGACGCCAGCAGAGACAAGGGGGCACUACGGGCACAGAUCUGAGACCCGCGUUGGAGAAUCGGGGGGAAGGGGUCAAUGUGGGAUUGUUGGUAUUUGAUAGUCAGAGCGACGGGGGGAUCGCGGGGCAGGUUCAGUCAGUGACAGACGCCAGCAGAGACAAGGGGGCGCCAGGGGCACAGAUCUGAGACCCGCGUUGGAGAAUCGGGGGGAAGGGGUCAGUGUGGGAUUGUUGGUAUUUGAUAGUCAGAGCGACGGGGGGAUCGCAGGGUAGGUUCAGUCAGUGACAGACGCCAGCAGAGACAAGGGGGCGACAGGGGCACAGAUCUGAGACCCGCGUUGGAGAAUCGGGGGGAAGGGGUCAAUGUGGGAUUGUUGGUAUUUGAUAGUCAGAGCGACGGGGGGAUCUCGGGGCAGGUUCAGUCAGUGACAGACGCCAGCAGAGACAAGGGGGCGCCAGGGGCACAGAUCUGAGACCCGCGUUGGAGAAUCGGGGGGAAGGGGUCAAUGUGGGAUUGUUGGUAUUUGACAGUCAGAGCGACGGGGGGAUCUCGGGGCAGGUUCAGUCAGUGACAGACGCCAGCAGAGACAAGGGGGCGCCAGGGGCACAGAUCUGAGACCCGCGUUGGAGAAUCGGGGGGAAUGGGUCAAUGUGGGAUUGUUGGUAUUUGAUAGUCAG